rnacentral:lncRNA from 1 species
UACUUGGAAGCAAAUGACACAAAGAAUAAGGCUUGCAAAUCAUCAACUUCUGUCUUGGCAUCUCUCUUAAACAGAAACAAGUUGUCUACAUUAUGCAGGAAUACAAUGAUGCUCUUCAGAGAGCUGAUCGAUUGUCUGUUGCACGAGAAAACUUCCUUAUGGGAAAAAAGAACACUCCUAACUUAGUGACACAGGAAGACCUGACUAUUUACACAAAUUGGUUAGUGUGUCACCUACACUCACUCAAGAUUAUUCACCACUAUGUGCAGGCUCUCCAGUAUUUACCCAUCUCCAAAGCUCUGAGUGUAGCUGUUGACGAAGUCCCUGAGGUUGGUCAGGAAAAUGAAGUUUCCUGUUGAUGACACUGACCCUGACAUCCAGGGUUCUGCAUCUCCAGACUCUACGAAUGCCAGUGUUUCAGGGCCAAUGAGAACAGAAACUGCUUUCGUUCUGCCCCAACACACAACAGAAACAGAAGAACUGAAACCUCAGCUGAGGCUUCUGCUCUCGCAUUUCAGUAUCUCUUAUGACGUGGAAGAGCUGAGCGAUGCUUCUAAGGAGACAGAACUUUUUGCCUUGGUACUUUAUGGAUUCUUUCUUAAUGCAAAUAUAGGUGUUCAUGAAAGAAAAUACUAGUAUCU